AUUGAACGCUGGCGGCAGGCUUAACACAUGCAAGUCGGACGAGUGGCGGACGCGUGAUUAAUUCUUGGGACUCUUGCUUAUGGACUGGGAUAACUACGGGAAACUGUAGCUCAUACCGCGUACCUUAGGAUGAGCCCACGUGUGAUUAGGUAGUUGGUUAGGUAAAGGCUCACCAAUCCGACUAUCUCUAGCUGGACUGAGAGGAUGACCGGCGACACUGGGACGGAGACACGGCCCAGACUACUACGGGAGGCAGCAGUGGGGAAUAUUGCGCAAUGGGGGCAACCUGACGCAGCCAUGUCGCGUGAAUGAAGAAGGCCUGCGGGUUGUAAAGUACUUUCGGUAGCGAGGCGUGAACUACAGAAGAAGCACCGGCUAACUCCGUGCCAGCAGCCGCGGUAAUAC
rnacentral:rRNA from 1 species